CCUACGGGCGGCAGCAGUGGGGAAUAUUGGACAAUGGGGGGAACCCUGAUCCAGCCAUGCCGCGUGUGUGAAGAAGGCCCUCGGGUUGUAAAGCACUUUCAGUGAGGAAGAACGCCUGGUGGUUAAUACCCAUCAGGAAAGACAUCACUCACAGAAGAAGCACCGGCUAACUCCGUGCCAGCAGCCGCGGUAAUACGGAGGGUGCGAGCGUUAAUCGGAAUUACUGGGCGUAAAGCGCGCGUAGGUGGCUUGAUAAGCCGGUUGUGAAAGCCCCGGGCUCAACCUGGGAACGGCAUCCGGAACUGUCAAGCUAGAGUGCAGGAGAGGAAGGUAGAAUUCCCGGUGUAGCGGUGAAAUGCGUAGAGGUCGGGAGGAAUACCAGUGGCGAAGGCGGCCUUCUGGACUGACACUGACACUGAGGUGCGAAAGCGUGGGUAGCAAACAGGAUUAGAUACCCUUGUAGUC
rnacentral:rRNA from 1 species